GAUGGGUCUUGACUCUUUAUCCAAUUUGCCAGUCUGUGUCUUUUAAUUGGUCAUUUAGCCCAUUUACAUUUAAGGCUAAUAUUGUUACGUAUGAAUUUGAAUCUGUCAUUAUCAUGCUAGCCAGUUAUUUUGCCCAUUACUUGAUACAGUUUCUUCAUAGUGUUAAUGGUAUAUACAUUUUUGAAUAUUU